AUUGAACGCUGGCGGCAGGCCUAACACAUGCAAGUCGAGCGAGCGGCGGACGGGUGAGUAAUGUCUGGGAAACUGCCUGAUGGAGGGGGAGAACUACUGGAAACGGUAGCAAAUACCGCAUACUAUCAGAUGUGCUCAGAUGGGAUUAGCCAGUAGGUGGGGUAACGGCUCACCUAGGCGACGAUCCCUAGCUGGUGUGAGAGGAGGACCAGCCACACUGGACCUGUGACACGGUCCAGACUCCUACGGGAGGCGUCAGUGGGGAAUAUUGCACAAUGGGCGAAAGCCUUAUGCAGCCAUGCCGCGUGUGUGAAGAAGGCCUUCGGGUUGUAAAGCACUUUCAGCGGGGAGGCGUUACCCACAGAAGAAGCACCGGCUAACUCCGUGCCAGCAGCCGCGGUAAUUC
rnacentral:rRNA from 1 species